UUACGGGUGAAGAUAAGACGGAUUAGCGGCGGACGGGUGAGUAACACGUGAGUAACCUGCCUUUUACACAGGAUAGCCUCGGGAAACCGGGAUUAAAACCUGAUGAAACUAUCAAAUCACAUGAUUAAGAAAGUUAAAACUCCGGUGGUAAAAGAUGGACUCGCGUCCCAUUAGCUAGUUGGUGAAGGUAACGGCCCACCAAGGCAACGAUGGGUAGCCGGCCUGAGAGGGUGAACGGCCACAUUGGAACUGAGAAACGGUCCAAACUCCUACGGGAGGCAGCAGUU
rnacentral:rRNA from 1 species